UUUUAAUCCAGAAUAAUUCAUAGUAAUAUGGUUCAAGAGGUCUAUAUGACAAGCUUUAUAACAUGGAACCCCCUCCUGCAUUGGAUAAGUUUGAUGAUGUUAAAAUAAACCCUUGCACAGAAAUUUCAUAAAGCAGAAUUGUUUGCCUCACUAACUCAAAAUAAUAGAAAUCUAACAAAAGAAAUUUUGAGCAUGUACCUCAGCAUUCAAACCUAAAGAAUUCCU
rnacentral:misc_RNA from 1 species